rnacentral:rRNA from 1 species
CCUACGGGAGGCAGCAGUAGGGAAUCUUUCACAAUGGGCGAAAGCCUGAUGGAGCAACGCCGCGUGCAGGAUGAAGGCCUUCGGGUUGUAAACUGCUUAUAUAAGCGAGAAAUAUGAUGGUAACUUAUGAAUAAGGAGCGGCUAACUACGUGACAGCAGCCGCUGUCAUACGUAGGAUCCGAUCAUUAUCCGGAGUGACUGGGUGUAAAGAGUUGCGUAGGUGGCAUAAUAAGUAGCUAGUGAAAUCUGGUGGCUCAACCAUUCAGACUAUUAGCUAAACUGUUAAGCUCGAGACCGUUAGGGGUAACUGGAAUUUCUAGUGUAGGAGUGAAAUCCGUAGAUAUUAGAAGGAACACCAAUAGCGUAGGCAGGUUGCUGGGACGGUUCUGACACUAAGGCACGAAAGCGUAGGGAGCAAACGGGAUUAGAUACCCGAGUAGUC